rnacentral:lncRNA from 10 species
UAAAUCUCUAGUGAAGAAAAUUAAGAUAGAAUGAUUAGUCUUAGGAAUAUAAUGCAGGACAACCAAACUGACUGCAGUGUGGUGCGACAGGAAGCAAAUAGCAUUUUGAAACAGUUCACGGGAAUGGGGUUUAGUAGCCCAGUAGACUGUUGUACAUUCUAAGAUGGCAGAGGUCAUUAUUUUUGGAUAAUAUAUAAUCUUAUUGUUCCACAGUCAUAAUAAUGUAAAAUGUGCCUCUUUGUGAAUUAAAAUGAAUAAAAAUAGGGCCCCUUUGGGGAUUAAGUGUAAACAUGGCCUGCCAGAUUGUUUUAUUUUUAUGAUUUUAUAUCUAAGUUUCUUACCCAUCUUAAAACAAAAGACACUGCUUUCAUUGGAACUGCAAACUGCCCUAGUAUAAUUAAUGACUUUAAAACUCAGUUUUGUAUUUGAGAUUUUUUUAAAAACCUUUUGGUUUAUGUAGCUGGGAAUAUUUAAAGAGGUAUUGCUUAUCUUCUGCUUGCAGGCUUAUCAGUAACAUCAGAACAAAUAAAUCCUCAUAGUACUGGAGCUCGGAAGACAGAAACUAGAGUCGAAGAGGCAUUUCGGCACAAACAAAGAAAUCCAAUGGAUGUGUGGCACAACUCUGCAAAUAAAUGUGCAUUUCGGGUUCGGAGAAAAUCAAGGCGGAGAUCACAGUGGGGUAAAGGAAUUAUUAAG